rnacentral:rRNA from 1 species
GAUGAACGCUGGCGGCGUGCCUAAUACAUGCAAGUCGAGCGAACAGACGAGGAGCUUGCUCCUCUGACGUUAGCGGCGGACGGGUGAGUAACACGUGGAUAACCUACCUAUAGACUGGGAUAACUUCGGGAAACCGGAGCUAAUACCGGAUAAUAUAUUGAACCGCAUGGUUCAAUAGUGAAAGACGGUUUUGCUGUCACUUAUAGAUGGAUCCGCGCCGCAUUAGCUAGUUGGUAAGGUAACGGCUUACCAAGGCGACGAUGCGUAGCCGACCUGAGAGGGUGAUCGGCCACACUGGAACUGAGACACGGUCCAGACUCCUACGGGAGGCAGCAGUAGGGAAUCUUCCGCAAUGGGCGAAAGCUUGACGGAGCAACGCCGCGUGAGUGAUGAAGGUCUUCGGAUCGUAAAACUCUGUUAUUAGGGAAGAACAAAUGUGUAAGUAACUAUGCACGUCUUGACGGUACCUAAUCAGAAAGCCACGGCUAACUACGUG